GGGUGAGAAGCUUAAUAGGAAAAGCAAAAAACUGUUAAUUUUGAGAUUGUGGGUUCAACUCCCAUCUCGCCCG
rnacentral:tRNA from 1 species